ensembl:snoRNA
CAGCAUCCUCUGAUAGACCACGAGCACUUUUCCUAUUGCUCUCUGGUUUGCACUAUGAUGCAAAAAUAACUUCCUUGCGCUUUCUGCCUGCCAGCCCAUGGCAGCUCAGAUUGAAUUAGGGAAUACACAA